CCCAGACUCCUACGGGAGGCAGCAGUGGGGAAUAUUGCACAAUGGGGGAAACCCUGAUGCAGCGACGCCGCGUGAGUGAAGAAGUAUUUCGGUAUGUAAAGCUCUCUCAGCAGGGAAGAUAAUGACGGUACCUGAGUAAGAAGCCCCGGCUAACUACGUGCCAGCAGCCGCGGUAAUACGUAGGGGGCAAGCGUUAUCCGGAUUUACUGGGUGUAAAGGGAGCGUAGACGGCAUGGCAAGUCUGAAGUGAAAGCCCGGGGCUCAACCGCGGGACUGCUUUGGAAACUGUUAAGCUGGAGUGCAGGAGAGGUAAGGGGAAUUCCUAGUGUAGCGGUGAAAUGCGUAGAUAUUAGGAGGAACACCAGUGGCGAAGGCGGCUUACUGGACUGUAACUGACGUUGAGGCUCGAAAGCGUGGGGAGCAAACAGGAUUAGAUACCCGAGUAU
rnacentral:rRNA from 1 species